GACGAACCGUGCGAACGUUGUUCGGAAUCACUGGGCUUAAAGGGCGCGUAGGCGGAGGGACUAGUCGGUGGUGAAAGCCUUCAGCUUAACUGGAGAAGCGCCUCCGAUACUGACUCUCUCGAGGGAGGUAGGGGCAUGUGGAACUCAGGGUGGAGCGGUGAAAUGCGUAGAUAUCCUGAGGAACGCCGGUGGCGAAAGCGACGUGCUGGACCUCUUCUGACGCUGAGGCGCGAAAGCCAGGGGAGCAAACGGG
rnacentral:rRNA from 1 species